UGGAAGUAAAAGUCGUAACAUGGUCUCCGUUGGUGAACCAGCGGAGGGAUCAUUACCGAGUUUACAACUCCCAAACCCAAUGUGAACGUUACCAAACUGUUGCCUCGGCGGGAUCUCUGCCCCGGGUGCGUCGCAGCCCCGGACCAAGGCGCCCGCCGGAGGACCAACCAAAACUCUUUUUGUAUACCCCCUCGCGGGUUUUUUAUAAUCUGAGCCUUCUCGGCGCCUCUCGUAGGCGUUUCGAAAAUGAAUCAAAACUUUCAACAACGGAUCUCUUGGUUCUGGCAUCGAUGAAGAACGCAGCGAAAUGCGAUAAGUAAUGUGAAUUGCAGAAUUCAGUGAAUCAUCGAAACUUUGAACGCACAUUGCGCCCGCCAGUAUUCUGGCGGGCAUGCCUGUCCGAGCGUCAUUUCAACCCUCGAACCCCUCCGGGGGGUCGGCGUUGGGGAUCGGCCCUCCCUUAGCGGGUGGCCGUCUCCGAAAUACAGUGGCGGUCUCGCCGCAGCCUCUCCUGCGCAGUAGUUUGCACACUCGCAUCGGGAGCGCGGCGCGUCCACAGCCGUUAAACACCCAACUUCUGAAAUGAUGACCUCGGAUCAGGUAGGAAUACCCGCUGAACUUAAGCAUAUCAAUAGCGGAGGA
rnacentral:rRNA from 1 species